UCUCUCCACGCUCGCCGUUUCCGUCAGAGCUCACAAUAUUACCGAUAUGCUCUCUCCCUUCCCGGAGUACAGCCUCUACAACAGCUACCUCAGCCAAACUAAGCUUGCCGACGAGAUCAACAGUCGCCAAACACUCACCUGCCUUGUCCUCAACAAUGCCGCUAUGUCUGCGCUGGCCGGGAAACACCCCCUCUCCGUCAUCAAAAAGGCUCUCAUGCUCCUCGUGGUUUUGGACUACUACGACGGCAAAAAGCUCCACGAAAUCUCCGAUGGCACCACUCUUUCCACCACUCUCUACCAAACCACCGGUAAUGCUCCUGGUAAUCUUGGUUUUGUAAACAUUACAGAUCUGAAAGGUGGCAAGGUCGGUUUCGGCUCGGCGGCUCCCGGCUCCAAGCUUGACUCGAGUUACACGAAGAGUGUUAAGCAGAUCCCGUACAAUAUCUCGGUUCUUGAGAUCAGCGCGCCGAUCAUUGCGCCGGGGCUUCUGACGGCUCCGGCUCCGUCGGCUUCUGAUGUGAACAUUACGGGUUUGCUUGAGAAAGCUGGAUGCAAGACGUUUGCGUCGUUGCUUGUGUCGACUGGUGUGAUCAAGAUCUAUGAGUCAGCGGUGGAGAAAGGUUUAACUGUUUUCGCGCCUAAUGAUGAGGCUUUCAAAGCUGAUGGUGUGCCUGAUCUGACCAAGCUCACCAAUGCUGAGCUGGUGACGCUUUUGCAGUAUCAUGCUGUCGCUGCAUACAGUCCGAUAGGGUCGUUGAAGACUAGCAAAGAUCCGAUCAGCACGCUUGCAACUAGCGGCGCAGGGAAGUACGAUCUGACAGUGUCCACCGCCGGAGAUUCCGUUACCCUGAAGACCGGCGUGGACUCGUCCAGAGUAGCCGACACCGUGCUUGACGCUACGCCACUCUGCCUCUUCACCGUUGACAACUUACUCCUCCCGACCGAGUUGUUCGGAAAAUCUCCAUCUCCGGCACCUGCACCGGAACCAGUGUCAUCCCCCUCCCCAACUCCAGCGGUCUCUCCAAGCCCGUCACCAGCUGCCGAAGCACCUACACCCGUCUCCUCCCCUCCAGCUCCACCGAUGGAGUCGCCGGAAGGCUCUCCGUCAGAUGCCCCUGCUGAAUCAGAAAACAGCACGACGGACAAAUCGGCCGUCGACGUCACCGCUCCGGCAGUGUUGAAACUACUCGCCACGGUCAUUUUCACGGUUCUGUUGUCCUGAAUAGUAAUUUCCUUGGAUUGUUAAUUUAUUUCACUUUAUUUUUCCACGGUUUUCC
rnacentral:lncRNA from 1 species